rnacentral:rRNA from 1 species
AUUGCACGCUAGCGGCAGGCCUAACACAUGCAAGUCGAACGAGUGGCGGACGGGUGAGUAAUGUCUGGGAAACUGCCUGAUGGCGGGGGAUAACUACUGGAAACGGUAGCUCAUACCGCAUACCAUCAGAUGUGCCCAGAUGGGAUGGGCUAGUUGGUGGGGUAACGGCUCACCAAGGCGACGAUCCCUAGCUGGUCUGAGCGGAUGACCGCGCAAAGCGGAACAGAGAGACGGUCUGGAAUCACACGUGAGGCAGAAGGGGGGAAUAUGGCACAAAGGGGGCAAGCCUGACGCAGACUCGCCGGGUGUAUGAAGAAGGUCAUCGGGCUGUAAAGUGUAGUCAGAGGGGAGGCGGGACCCGCAAAAGAAGGAGCGGCCAACUCCGUGCCAGCCGCCGCGGUAAUAC